GGGCAUUUGGUCUAGUGGUAUUAUUCUCGCAUUGGGUGCGCGAGGUCGCGAGUUCGAUUCUCGCAAUGCCCC
rnacentral:tRNA from 1 species